ensembl:lncRNA
ACCUCUUGAAGUGUUUGGUGUGGAGGUGUUUUUCAAAGGCAAAGGUAGGGAGUGCAGACUGCUAUCAUCGGAGCUGAGGAAGGACACUGCACAGAGAGAAAUCUCAGGGACACACUGAAAUCUCAGAUGCCCAGAGCACCAUGGCAAAUAUCUGGGAAUUUAUUUGAAAGCAAGAGGACUCCACUGAAAAGUUUUCAGCAGGAGAAAUGUUCAAUCAAAUAAGCAUUCAGAAGAUCAUAAUGGCUGCCCUGUGUCCUUCUGACAAGUCACUCAGGUACUGACACACACACAGGAGUCAGGAGGCCAGUGCAGUUGGGCAGAAGUGAUUGUGGAAAAGCAGAGAGGUGAGAAAUGCUUAGGAAAUGGAUUCAACAGCACUCAGUGAGCCACUGAACCCAGGAUGUGAAGGAGCUGCUUCCUCCCAAGAGACAGGAAAGCCAAGUCAUUAAGCACACAGACUCUGGAGCCAGACUGCUUGGGUUCAAGUCCUAGCCCUCUAGUGGCAAACCAUGCAAUAUCACAGUAAUCCAAGUCUAUGCCCCGACCAGUAAUGUUGAAGAAGCUGAAGUUGAACAGUUCUAUGAAGACUGACAAGACCUUCUAGAACUAACACCCCC